rnacentral:tRNA from 9 species
GCGGUCUUAGCUUAACUGGAUAGAGCAGUUGCCUCCUAAGCGACCGACGUGGGUUCGAGUCCCGCAGACCGCACCA